UAAAAACAUUCCCCCUAAACUCUUUCUCUCUCUCCGGCGCUCCCGAUCAAAGCAAUCUCCGUCGUAAUCAUGGAAACUGGUGUCUAAUUCGUCUCUGUUUUGGUGAGUGGGUGAGAUGGCGAGAGGUAGAUCGAUUAGUGGUCCUGGGCUAUGGAAUUUGAAUACGGCGUAUUAAAGGGCCGAGGCGUUUGGCUUUGCUUUUCAUCGUGUUUGCAUCUGUUUCGAUGUUGGUUUAGGAUUGUAUUAAUCUUGCCCGAGAACAUGAGAAAUAGGGAGGGCAAGAAGUGCUUAUAGAAGUCCUGAAUGAUAUUGGUGCUUUAUAAUAUGAAGAAUAAGAAUCUGAGGUUUGUGAAUGUUUUAGAUUCAACAAGGUGCAAGCAGAAGUAUGUUUCUUCAGAUGAUAUAUUGGUGAAUCUGGCUCGUGUGUACUUUGCUCAAGGGAACUUUGCCUCAAUGUAUCAAACUACUUGCGGAAGUAAUUAUACUUAGCCAGUACGCAUUAUGAGGCUGAGCAUUGGCAACAGUGCAAUAGUGCAAAAAGACACUAUUAAGGGUGCUCAAAGUUUCAGAAGCAGAGAAUGCUGUUUGUGUAUGCAGUCAGUUGUCUGCUGCUUCAGACCUCCAUGUUCUUGAGUUUAAUGGUAAAAAUACAAACCAUGUUCAGUACUUCACACACUUGCUUGAAGCAGCAAAAGUUCACCGUGAAGCGGCUGAGUGAGGAGCUGCAGAAUUGACAGAGAGUAGAAGGUGCUCGUCAGCCUGCUUUGGCGGAAGAAGCGCGCCUUAAACCUGAAGACCAUAUGAAAUAUCUUAACUAUGGACUUGCAAGUUAACCUUUCGCAGCAACAAAAUUAUUUUGACGAUGAUGAAUUAUAUGGAAGAUUUUCAAGUCUGUGAUAUACCUUGAUGGGUUCCCUCUCUUGGUCAGUUGGAGAAAAGAAAACAGGAAGACGAGCUGAGACGCCUCAAACUAGAAAAAGAAAGAUGUAGAAAAAGAAAGAUGUCAACGUAUAAAGUUGGGAGGUCUCCUAUUAUUGAUUACAACGUAUAUGCAGGCCAGGUUUCUCAACGAUGUUUAGUCUCAAGAAAAAAAAGUACUGUUUGAUACUUUGAACUUGGAACAAUGGAAGAGCAACAACCCACAUAGAUCUCACAAAUGUAAGAGGUGAAGAUGAUGGUGAGUAAGGUAGGCCCAGUGAGCGGAAAAGAAAGAAAGGCAAGAAGAGAAGAAAGAAGGAUAAAAGUGUUAUCAAAAUUCCUUUCUGGAUAUACAUUGCAUGAGAACCUGUCCGUCCUUCUAUAUCUCUUCUUGUACUGGGUUUGUGAAUCUUUUUUUUUAAUUAAUAUCAAAUUGCUCUCUGUCGUCUGACCUUCUCAAUGUGUAAGAAACAGCUGUUCAUUUUAGAGGUAGUGCUGAGUUAAAUGGAAUUGAAGUGAAAAUUAUUUUCCA